rnacentral:lncRNA from 1 species
AUUCUGCAUAUUAAAUUGCAUUGUACAAGCAAUGCAAUUAAUAGAUAUGCAAACAUGUAAUUAUAGAUAUACAAACAUAUUUCAGAGUUAGCACUGCUGCAAUAUCUUAUUGUAUUUAUCAAAUCUGAUAGGCACAGCUCACCUUCCUUCAAGGUAAAAUAUUGACUGUUUGAGAUAGGAAUCUUUCAAUUAAAGCAAACUGCUGCUUUUGUGGUGUUGAUGCAGAACUUGGGUCUGCCUUUGCUCAAUUCUUUCUUCAUUGCCAAGAGCUGCUUUUCACUGCCAGCUGGAAUGGCUCAGGAGCUCCAUCUCCCUGCAGGUGCCCUGAGCCCCAGUGGCCAGAGGCUGAUGCUGCCAACAGCCCUGAGGGCUCUGCCAGCCCCUCCUGCCGUGCCCAGAGCAGCUCCUGGCCCUCAGCUCCCCAGGCAGCACAAGAAACCAGCUCUGGGAGAGAUCAGUGUCAGGCUGGGCCCUGAGAGCACAGACACCACCACCCUCCCAAAGGCACAGGAAGCAGUUUGUGGCACACAUUCCUGCAGUAAAGGGAGCAUUGCACCACUGCCAUCCAGCAACUCCGUGGUUUCACCAAGGAGAUCAAGGCCAGAGUGGAGGUGUCCAGCUCAGCAGUUGCAAUCUGAGGGGCACGUUCCCCCUCAGACACAGGUGACUGGUGGAAGGGAUCACUCAGUGAGGAUAAUGAGGGUUUUAUUUGUGGUUUUUUUUACUGUCUUCACCAGGGCUGGUUUAGGGAGGGACUGUAAAUCUCAGGAGGGUUUGAACCACAUCUAGUAAGUACUGAAAUAAAAUAACAAAUAGUUUGUGUAUUCCA